rnacentral:lncRNA from 1 species
UGUUGGAGUGUAACAUCUCACAUUGAAAGCAUGGAGCUAAAACGGAAAGAAGAAAAGCUCAAAUUGCAAGAAAAAGAAUUAGUUAAACAAGUUAGUUAGUUGUUAUUUCUGUUUUUUCUGUUGGUAGUUAGUCCAGCCUUCUUUCUGUUAUUUUCUGGUAAUUUUCUGUUGGUGUAAUGUAUUAUAAAUACGGCUCAGCCUGAUGUACAAAUUUGAUGGAAUACAUUUUGAUAAUUCUUGCCAUUUUCGGUCUCCUGAUUCUGUUUCUCGACAUGGUAUCAGAGCUAAUACAUUCUGCAAUCUAAAUCAGUUCAUUUCUCUAUUCCCAUCCUGCAGAAUUCUGCUCUGGAGUUCUUGCAUCAAAUACUUGUGGAAUUCUUACAUUUUUCUUGAAUGAUAUCUUGAAAAAUGAGUUCAGAAAAUAA